AUUGAACGCUGGCGGCAUGCUUUACACAUGCAAGUCGAACGGCAGCACGGGGGCAACCCUGGUGGCGAGUGGCGAACGGGUGAGUAAUGCAUCGGAACGUAUCUUCGAGUGGGGGAUAACGCACCGAAAGGUGUGCUAAUACCGCAUAAUCUCUAAGGAGAAAAGCAGGGGAUCGCAAGACCUUGCGCUCUUGGAGCGGCCGAUGUCUGAUUAGCUAGUUGGGAGGUAA
rnacentral:rRNA from 1 species